UUGCGUAUCUACAGUAUCAUUACUUCCGUACCUUCGAAGGUACACGGCUUCACACUACACGCGUACACGGUACACGUACGAAGUACGGCUUUCGUAUCUUCAUAAUAGUAGUCUCGAGACUUCGCGCGUACCAUCGAAGCAGAAGCGGCAUCGACGCGAGGACGCAGACGACGACGGCGCGCGCGGAGACGACGACGCGCGGGGAGGGCGCGAGCGCGGCGCCGACACCGCGGUCGCCGCGGCCGCGCGGGGGAGUGAACAGGCUCCGCAUCGAAGUAUCUACCAGGGGAGAACUUACUAAACUUUCGACAAUAAGUAUAAAUACUUUCGUACAUGACUGCCGGAAAAAAAAGGUAAAUAAAUAAGUAUUUCAAAGUACGCGUACUGCAGUUUUAACUCACAAUCGACGGUCUAAUUUCGCUCGACCCGCAAAAGUCACCGCCUUCGGCGUGUAAAUAAAUUAAAUACUUUCGAAAAACUAAGUUGACUAACUUACUCAUUUAUUUACGAAGGUAUUUAUUUACUAUUAAAAGUUUAUCCCCUGGUAUUCUAUCUACUACGAAGGUAUCUUCGUACAUACGUACGUACUUCCGUAUUACAUCUAUUUCCAUAAAACUACAGUAUGAUAGCCAUGGACUACCUUCGUACAAGCUUGUACGAAAGUACGAAAGUACUUUCGUACGAAAGUACGAAAGUACCUUCGAAGGUACAGUAAUACUAUCUACGAAGGUACGUACAGUAUCUAACUUAGCUUUUUUCGAAGGUACUGUACUGUACCUUCGAAGGUACAGUAUCUACGAAGGUACAGUAUCUACGAAGGUACACGUGUACAGUAUCUAACUUAGCUAUUUUCGAAGGUACCUUCGAAGGUACGAAAGUACCUUCGAAGGUACUUUCGAAAGUACUUUCGUACAACGUACCUUCGAAGGUACCUUCGUAGCUAGCUAGCUAGUGGCUAUCAGCGUAAGGAUAACAACUUAUUGUUAAGGUCACGCUCCGCUAAUUGAAUUUCCCGUGCCAAAAGUACGAAUUUUGUGUGCGUAUUUUGUCUAAAUCGCAAAAAACGUACUUUUGUGCGCGCCCACGCUCCGUCGCGGCGUCGAUCAACUUGAAACUUCGGCGCGCUCAUCCUUUUAUAUCCUUUCUAAGCUCAUAUCCUUUCGCUGAUAGCCACUAGAGCUAGCUACCUUCGUAGACGAGUCUACUGUACGUGUAGCUAUGACUAGUUUGACUACGUGUAGCUUUUUUAGCCCUAGCCAUAGACGAGUUGCGCUAAGUCACCAAAUUUAUAACGCCGAAUUAAUUUGCGAAUCCAAAUUCGUAUGAGCGUCAGGUAGACGCGCCCCCUCACGUCCGCGCUUCCCCAUGCGCCGUCGCAGCUUGGAUUGACCUGACAUUUUACAGAGCAGCCAUUUGCGAUUUUAGACAACAGAUACGUGCAUUUGCGCGGCGGGAAAAAGACGGGAAUAUAGUUUUCGGACCCCUAGUACGAAGGUAGCUAGUAGCUAGAGGUAUCUAUCUACCUGUAGCUACAACGUUGUAGUCUAGCUAGGGAUAAUAACAUUGUAGUCUACAACGUUACACGUACGAAGGUACACAAUUGCUCUAUCUUCGAAAGUACUUUCGUAUUAUCUUCGUACUUCCGUGUGACAGAGCAAGUCAAGCUACACGUGUACGUGUAGUCUACAACGUUGUAGGGCGGGGGCUAGUUAAUAACUCAAGCGUACUUAUCAUAAAAAUAACUUCCGACGUGAGGGCAACCCGCGAACUGCAUAGGGCUAGUAGCUAGCUUGAAUUGCUCUGUCAUAGCCCUGCCUACAUGUAUGUACUUCCGAAAGUACGCCGUACUUCAGGAAGUACUUCCGGAAGUACGAAUGAAGAUAGCCCUACACGUACGUGUACAGUACACGUACACGUAAGUUACAACGACAUACACAUAGAAUACUGUAGUUUAGUGUAACGUUAAAUUAUUUGGACGUGUACACGUGCACGUAUCACUCACGUAUCUAUUUCCGGAAAUAUGGCCCUAUGAGCUGCCCUAUGAAUAAGAAGGCAUGAUACUGUACGAAAGUACAAUAUGAUACUUCCGGAAGUAUUUCCGUACUUCCGUACGAAAGUACGAAAGUACACGUGUACAGUACGAAAGUACUUCCGUACGAACUUCCGUACGAACAAAUGAAUACGUCGUUACACUAUGAUACACGAAUUGUACAGUACACGUACUAAUUUCAUUCGACGAGCGAAGAAUAUCGC
rnacentral:lncRNA from 1 species